rnacentral:tRNA from 1 species
GGGGCUAUAGUUAAUAAUAACAUUUGAUUUGCAUUCAAAAGGUACUGCCCAUAGUAGUUAGCCUCA